GGGCUUGGGAUCACACGUGAUUACGUGAAGCAUUCUGUGAUGUGCGCAGACAUGUUGAUGGCCUUACGAGUAUAAACAAACCAUGAAAACAAACAGUAUGUUGCAGAGAAGAAGCAGGUUUGGGUGAAGGGAAGUGUUAAACAACAUGUUAAAAUCCCAAGAAGAAUGCUGAAUAUGCAAGGACACGUUAAAUAAAGACGCCGGGGACCGAUUUUUGGAUCCAUAUGAAAGACCCGAGAACGGAGCCCCGACGAUAACUUGUUGCCGCCGCAGCUCUGCAUAAUGGACAUUUUUGGCUGUCUUGUUUGAGCGGAUGUAAAUGUCUCGAUGAGAGACUCUGGUUGCGGGGGCAGCAGUCUAAGUGGAGAGGCUCAGACUUCCCUUUCCCCAGCCACUUGAGCCAGCACUUCCGGGGGAAUCCCAAGGCGUUCCCUGGCCAGGUGAGAGAUGUAGUCCCUCCACUGUGUCCUGGGUCUACCUUUAGACCGGGAUCACAUUGUGCGACUUUUGGCCGUCUUUGCCAAAUCCCUCUUCCUGAGCAGAACCGUGCCAAAAAAAUGGUCAACGUGAGGGUGAUUUGCAUAUGUGUGCACCAUGCUGUGAACGUACAAUGUGACCAGCUCUGCGGCAGUUUUUGGAGCCGUCUCACGACCAAAUCAGCCUCAAAAAGUCUUCAAGCACUGCUUACAAACCUACAAUUCCUGUCUGCAAUCGACCAAUGAAAACGCACCUUUGGGACGCCGCAGCAGCAAAACUCCGCCUCUCUGAGCUUUGGUUUCAAUUUAUGCUUAAAAUGCGGAUUUUAAACUACACACCGCCUCCAGGUUGGACAUGCCCGGAAAACCUCACCAGGGAGAUGUCCAGAAGGCAUCCUAAUUACAUGCCUGAGCCACCUCAACGUGCUCCUCUCGAUGUGGAGGAACAGCGGGCCUACUCCGAGCCCCUCCCGGAUGACUGGACUUCUCCCCCUAUCUCUAAGGGAGAGCCCAGACACCCUGCGGCUAAAACUCAUUCUGGCCGUUUGUAUCCACGAUCUUGUUCUUUCUGUCACUACCCAAAGUUUGUGACCAUAGGUGAGGGUAGGAAUGGAGAUUGACUGGUAAAUGGAGAGCUUCGCCUUCUGGCUCAGCUCUCUCUUCACCACGACAGACUGGUACAAUAUCUGCAUCACUGCAGUCACAGCACCAAUCCGCCUAUCAAUCUCGCACUCCAGCUUUCCCUCACUUGUGAACAAGACCCAGAGAUAUUUAAACUCCUCCACUUGGGGCAGGACCCCAUCCCUGACCCGGAGAAAGCAUUCUACCCUUUUCCGAAUCAAGACCAUGGUCUCAGAUUUAGAGGAGCUGAUUCUCAUCACAGCUGCCUCACACUUGGCUGAGAACCAAUUGUAUUUACACAAACAACAUGCUAAACAUGCAUACGUAGCAUUAAAGACUACAAAUUAAUAGUGACCAAUAAGAUGUGAUGAUUCCAUAUAAAUAUGAAAUAUCAACCUGAUUGAUCUUUGAAUGUUGAAUCAGAAGAUUCUAGUUACUUUUACUUGUUCAGGGACCAUAAACACACUCUGUAUUAAUUCAGACAGUGAAAUGAAUUUUAUUCUUUUUCCAAAACUAAUAAUUUAUACAUGACAAGAUGUGAAUAAUGAGGUGGGAUGUAGUGGAUGUGAGGUGUUUUGAUGUGAUGUGUUAGGUGGUGUGAUGGAAGCUAGAUGUUUUGCAGAACCUUCUUUGUAUCUGAGAGGACUUGUGAAAUCUGGGUGUAAAAAAUUUGUUGUUAGGUUAUAAACUAGAGAGUUGGUUAUUGAUAAAAGCCACCAGACGCGAUUUGUUGUGUCUAUUACCCUUGUGGAGACCCCCCAGUGGAGAUCCAGACUGUCAGAAGUUGGGGGGAACCUCGACCUCAAGGUAUCCGAAGCCCAUAGAUUAGCUCCGAUACGACCCGUCCAAUCUUGAGUGGUCUCCAAGUCACAACAAGAAGCUAGAAGGCUCGUUUGCAUCCAAGGAUGAUGUUUGGCUCUUAAAAAAGCCGUCUGGCUGUGUCAGCUUGCAGCGUGCAAAGAGGCAUUUGACUGUAUGUCAAAAGAGACGUCUCGAAGAUGCUUGUUCCCGAAUUGGCCGGUUCGAGUCAGCUAGAAACUGAGUUAAUCGGGAAGUAAUUCUUGUUUUGAUAAACCACAAUGUUAUGAGUUUUGGCCAAAUUUGGCAAAUCAGAAUUUGACAUGUUUUUGAGUAUUUACCAGCAUCCCUCAGAAAGCCACACCUUCUUCAGAUACAAAGAGUUUUAACACUUUGUGAAUGAUAAUCCUUAAACUCUUAUGUAAGGUGAAUAUUAACCUUUAUGAGUAUCUUAUUGUAAUGUGUAUGAGUGUAAACAUUGAUUAAAAUGUUAAAUCAACGCAUACUGAUUUGUGAAAUAAAUGAAUCAUUGUAGGAACAA